CAGUAACAGAGCCAUGGCUCAAGCUGGCCAGCGGGGCGGGCAGGCAGCAGCCGCGGCAGGCGCGCGGGCCGCGGCAGGGGAGCCGGAGACCUCAGAAUUUUAAGAAAGAGAGGGGCGAGAGGUGGCCGAGGCGGGCGGGCUGGGGCACUGCGCUCUCCCAACGGCGCGGAUCCUUUUUGGAAAUUAAUAUUAAAAAAAAAAAAAAGCCGAGGACGCAGAGGGGAAGGUGGGGUGUAAGAGGGAAGGCGAGACACACACACACACACACACGCACACGCACACACGGACACACACACACGGAGAGAGAGAGAGAGAGACAGAGCCCCACAGUGAGAGGAAGGAAGGCAACAGUCGCCAGCAGCCGAUGUGAAGACCGGACUCCGUGCGCCCCUCGCCGCCUCUGCCUGGCCACAUCGAUGUUGUGUCCGCCGCCUGCUCGCCCGGAUCACGAUGAACGCGCAGCUGACCAUGGAAGCGAUCGGCGAGCUGCACGGGGUGAGCCAUGAGCCGGUGCCCGCCCCUGCCGACCUCCUGGGCGGCAGCCCCCACGCGCGCAGCUCCGUGGCGCACCGCGGCAGCCACCUGCCCCCCGCGCACCCGCGCUCCAUGGGCAUGGCGUCCCUGCUGGACGGCGGCAGCGGCGGCGGCGAUUACCACCACCACCACCGGGCCCCUGAGCACAGCCUGGCCGGCCCCCUGCAUCCCACCAUGACCAUGGCCUGCGAGACUCCCCCAGGUAUGAGCAUGCCCACCACCUACACCACCUUGACCCCUCUGCAGCCGCUGCCUCCCAUCUCCACAGUCUCGGACAAGUUCCCCCACCAUCACCACCACCACCAUCACCACCACCACCCGCACCACCACCAGCGCCUGGCGGGCAACGUGAGCGGUAGCUUCACGCUCAUGCGGGAUGAGCGCGGGCUGGCCUCCAUGAAUAACCUCUAUACCCCCUACCACAAGGACGUGGCCGGCAUGGGCCAGAGCCUCUCGCCCCUCUCCAGCUCCGGUCUGGGCAGCAUCCACAACUCCCAGCAAGGGCUCCCCCACUAUGCCCACCCGGGGACCACCAUGCCCACCGACAAGAUGCUCACCCCCAACGGCUUCGAAGCCCACCACCCGGCCAUGCUCGGCCGCCACGGGGAGCAGCACCUCACGCCCACCUCGGCCGGCAUGGUGCCCAUCAACGGCCUUCCUCCGCACCAUCCCCACGCCCACCUGAACGCCCAGGGCCACGGGCAGCUCCUGGGCACAGCCCGGGAGCCCAACCCUUCGGUGACCGGCGCGCAGGUCAGCAAUGGAAGUAAUUCAGGGCAGAUGGAAGAGAUCAAUACCAAAGAGGUGGCUCAGCGUAUCACCACCGAGCUCAAGCGCUACAGCAUCCCACAGGCCAUCUUCGCGCAGAGGGUGCUCUGCCGCUCCCAGGGGACCCUCUCGGACCUGCUGCGCAACCCCAAACCCUGGAGCAAACUCAAAUCCGGCCGGGAGACCUUCCGGAGGAUGUGGAAGUGGCUGCAGGAGCCGGAGUUCCAGCGCAUGUCCGCGCUCCGCUUAGCAGCAUGCAAAAGGAAAGAACAAGAACAUGGGAAGGAUAGAGGCAACACACCCAAAAAGCCCAGGUUGGUCUUCACAGAUGUCCAGCGUCGAACUCUACAUGCAAUAUUCAAGGAAAAUAAGCGUCCAUCCAAAGAAUUGCAAAUCACCAUUUCCCAGCAGCUGGGGUUGGAGCUGAGCACUGUCAGCAACUUCUUCAUGAACGCAAGAAGGAGGAGUCUGGACAAGUGGCAGGACGAGGGCAGCUCCAAUUCAGGCAACUCAUCUUCUUCAUCAAGCACUUGUACCAAAGCAUGAAGGAAGAACCACAAACUAAAACCUCGGUGGAAAAGCUUUAAAUUAAGAAAAAUUUUUAAAAGACCAGGACCUCAAGAUAGCAGGUUUAUACUUAGAAAUAUUUGAAGAAAAAAAAGUGUUAUUUAUAGUCCAAAGAAACCAAAGACUUAGCUCACCUGCAUUCUGACUUUGCUUGGAGACACACACUUCAGCAGGGCGGCGACUUGGCAAGACAAACGAUGAGCAGGAAAACACCACUGGAUCUCACACCUUCAAUCCAUGACCAUCCUCGCUGUGCUUGGCUGUUUAGUGGUUUGGAGCAUAGUGAUUUUGAGCCAUUGAGCGGACAUCUUUUAAGAUCGAACUUUCUCAUCUGUUCUACCAUGCCACGAAGGUGUAUGGUGUCUCAGUACUACCACCACCAGUGGUUAGAGACUUAGGCAGAGCUUGUCUUCAGAAAUGGUUGUUCUAUAGGAGUGCAACCAACAUGAAUGGAAGUUAGUCUGUUUCUGGCCAUAAGACAUUCAGGUCCUCUCAUCACUGGAAGCUUUCCUGUAGAGGGCAGGGAGUUGUGACGUCUGGACACCCCAAAACCCCAGACUUCAGUAAAUGUUCAGGUAAAAGAGCUCUGGAUGUCAGGAAUUGAGUAUUCCAGUCCCUGGAUGCAGCUGGAAUAGACUCCAAAGACCAAAGAAAAUGUGUGGGAAAUCCAGAAGUCCUAAAUGAACAUGUCACUCACUGUGCCCCCGCAAAAAAGCGAAAUUAUUUUUCCAGGAAAAUAUAAAAGCACUACGCUACUUUUGGAUUCAUUCCACUCCCAUUGCUACCCCAGGUGAAUGACCGUGGUUGCAGGUUAAAUGCAAACUUUGCUAUACCAAAGAGUCCUAGGACAUUUUCACAUGAGCUAUAAAGGCAUAUUCCCUAAGAAAGGUCCUCCCUUCUUUGUACAUAAAGGAUGAAAACUAUGCAUUUAGCAAACAAAGAGAAAGCACUUCUUUUUCUAUCUAGUUGUUUAGGGUGCAUUCAAACACCAGAGGCUGUUUUGAGACAUGUUUGGCCUUCUGGGUUAUUACUGUGGUGUGGUUAGCUUUACAGUACAUUUGGUAACUAUUUCCUAAAUAGUAAGGACAAAGAAGCAGAAGGUAAGAAAUAGCGACUUCCACGUGUAAAAAAAAAAAAAAGAAAAAGAAAAAAAGAAAAAAAAAGUGUAAAGAUCUACUAUUUAUAGUGUGAACCAAAGACGCUACCUCACUCAAUUUCCAUUGGUGAUUUUAAUCACAUUGAUGAUACCAAAGAAUACCAAAGAUAUUUUCAUGCACGGUCUCAGUCUGCAGAGGGAACUCCGCCCCUUCCCUUCCCCCACCCCUCCCCCUUCCUAACUCUUCACUCAGUGUGUAAACUUGUCUUCAUUCUUAAUAAUGAUACAAUAAUGACAACAACAACAUUAGGAAAUACUACUCUUAUUACUGCUAGUUCUACUUGUAAAUCUCUAGGCAAACAUGUUGCAAACUUUGUAAACUCCUAGGACGAGUGCCUUGCUUGAACCAAAGUGUUAAACCGCUGUUGACCUCUUUCACCUUAUACUCUUUGAAUACCUCAGCCUCUUAGAAAGGCCACUAAUGAAAAAAAAAGGAAUAAUUAUUCACCGUGGUGCUUUUUCCGUGCAACCAUGCAAUGAAACUUUCUUUGAUACCAAAGGAUGACUUUUUUUUUCCCCAAUUUCUUGCUGAUAAACCAAAGCUCCUCCUCCUUGUUCCCUCUCAAGUUCCCCCCACCUGACUUCACCUGUCCCUCCACCAGGCAGGCCGUGCAUAACUUUUACCAAUUCCUCCAAAUACCUCAUAGUAAUAAAGUUUUAGGGUUAUGUUGUAUAGAGAGUCUAUGUGAUAAGGCAGAACUUACUAGUUUGAUAAUUGUUAAGGUUACUUUAAAAAAACUUUAUAAUUCUUAUUUAUUUUGUAGUUUGUAUGUUUGGGAUGUCCCCCCCCCCCUUUGAUUUGGGGUUUAUUUUCUUGGCAGAACUGCUCUAUUGCUCAAGGAAGACUUAGUUUCUGGAAAUAUUCCCCGGGUGAGUUAAGGGUUGUGUAAAAAUGCAAGAAUGGAAUACGAAAUGAUUUUCAUUUUGAUGGUUACUUAUGAAGUUUUUGUGUUCCGUAGAAAAUUUGUUUCCACAGGGUAAAAAUAUAUAUAUAUAUAUAAAAUCUCUUUUUUGUGAAGCUGGUUCCUAUUUUUCUCUAUAAUGUGCUGUGAUUUUUUUUAAUUUAAUUACAUUUUAUAUGAGCUUAUUUAAUCACUGCUUUAAUUUAUGACUGUGUAGUUUUUAAAAUGUAUAUAGUAGAAUCGAAAUGGCCAAAGCUUUAUGUUACAAUCUUUUUGUUCUCGAUGCUAAGAUAAGCUGAAGGCAAGAGCUUCUCUUAACUGCAGGGUGUAUCUUUAGCUUUUUCUUAGUAGGUACUUCAAUGUGUGCUGUAAACACUGCCAGGUCCCCCUCAGAAACUUGUACAUGCCAAAGUGAGUGUUUCAAGAUAGUCCUUUUUGUCAUUUAGAAAGAAGAAAGGCAUUGUUCGUGUUCUUCCUUUAAUUUAUUAAUUUUUUUUAGAAAAGAUUACUUUGCAGGUAAGACCUGAAAUUCCAAAGAAUUUGAGACUUUUUUAAUAUUUCAAAGCACCGGCAUUUGUGAGAUACUUUGCUACUUCUUUUUUUUUUUUUUUUUUAACCAUUCGCACGGGUAUGAAAAGUAGAGUGUAAAAACUCAAAGAGACAAGCUAACUUGAAUUUGGAAAUCCUCUAGGUUUUCCCAAGUUUCUGAAUUGCUUCAAGGCAGGGGGCAGGGCAUGGAGACACAGUUCCUUUUGCAAAGCUGAGAGGAGAGUGUAAUGGCCUCAUGCCCUUAAGCAGAAAGUCAAGGCUGGGGAGCAGCUGACCCAGCCCCUACCCCUCUGGCCAGUCCACAGUAGACACAAAAUAUGAUUGCUUGGCCUCAAUUAUCAAUAGAAUUUAAGAGAAAAAUCAAAGUUACACAUCCCUCUCCACAUCAGUUUCUUGGAAUCUGCUACUCAUGACUGCCCCUCCUCUCCCCACGCGCCCCUACCAAAGUCACAGGAGUCAUCCUCAAAUGUCAGGGUCCUGGGGUGAAUGUACUCCACGCCUCUCUGAGUUUGUCUCUGCUCACUCUUCAUCUUCCCACUGUUUUCUUUUCUGCACUAGAGAUGAUCCCUGCCCUCAGCUCCCUUCAUGGAGGCAGUUCAGAUACUUGGCCCUACCUGUGAUGAGCACACACACAGAAUUCUCAACUGACAGUGGCAUCCUCAGAAGAGUCGGUGCCCACUAUUUUGUUUUAUUUUGCUGAAAGAAGUUGCUCUCACUACACAUCAUAAACCCAUAGAUGUAAAUACUUUCCCUCUCAACAUACAAAUUUUACCUUUCUCUUUCCCCCCCACAGGGGUGAUUGUGGUGGGGAAGGAAAGAGAGGGCUUAGACUUCAGGUCAAAUGUUACAUUUUCUUAGGAACAUUUUUAUACUCAUUAUGUAUUUUAAUAGGGCAAUAAAUCUGCUUUGGGUUGCAGGAUCACUCAGUGUUCUGUUGGAAAGCAUUGACCAAUGAUUUGUUUUUAAUACAAAUGCUGUGCGAUGAGUUAUAGAAACCUAGGACAAUGGUUGAGGGAGUCGACUCCUACAUCAGCAGUGAAGCGCUGAGCGGCGUUGUAUUCACAAAGUCACAUCUUCUGUUUCUGUGUUAGUCUCGAUUUGUUGUGGUACGUUCUGCAUUUAUUACAUAAUCAUUGUGGGCUCAUUUUAGAUUUGCCGUCUGAACCAAGUGACAAGUAUUUUUCAAUACAAUAAAGUUGAAAACCUUGUCUUCCA